rnacentral:rRNA from 1 species
GACGAACGCUGGCGGCGUGCUUAACACAUGCAAGUCGAGCGGUGAACCUCUUCGCAGGGUAUCCUUGGCGAACGGGUGAGUAACACAUGGGCAACCUGCCCCCGGCUCUGGGAUACCUCCAAGAAAUCGGGGCUCCUACCGGAAGUUCACCGCUUCCCGCAUGGGUGGUGGUGGAAAGGGUUUCCGGCUGGGGAUGGGCCCGCGGCCUAUCAGCUUGUUGGCGGGGUAGUGGCCUUCAAAGGCGACGACGGGUAGCCGGCCUGGGAGGGUGACCGUCCACACUGGGACUGAGACACGGACCAGACUCCUACGGGCGGCAGCAGUGGGGAAUAUUGCGCAAUGGGCGGAAGCCUGACGCAGCGACGCCGCGUGGGGGAUGACGGCCUUCGGGUGGUAAACAUAUUUCAGCAGGGACGAAGCGAAAGUGACGGUACCUGCAGAAGAAGCACCGGCCAACUACGUG